rnacentral:misc_RNA from 1 species
GAAAUGCGAUAAGUAAUGCGAAUUGCAGAAUUCCAGUGAGUCAUCGAAUCUUUGAACGCACAUUGCGCCCUUUGGUAUUCCGAAGGGCAUGCCUGUUCGAGCGUCAUUAUCACCCCUCAGGCCCCCGGGCUUGGUGUUGGACGGUUUGGUGGGGACAUCUGAGCCCUACCCCUCCCAAAGACAAUGACGGCGGCCUCGUUGGACCCCCGGUACACUGAGUUCUUAAAGGACACGUGCUGGACAAGGGCCCCGGGGCCACGGUCUCAACCCCCAUAUUUUUACAAGGUUGACCUCGGAUCAGGUAGGGAUACCCGCUGAACUUAA